AAGGUCUUAGUUUAAUUAAAUCGCUUGUUUUGCAUGCAUGAGAUGUGGGUUAGUGUCCCGUAGGCCUUA
rnacentral:tRNA from 1 species